rnacentral:rRNA from 1 species
GGACUACUCGGGUUUCUAAUCCCGUUUGCUCCCCUGGCUUUCGCGCCUCAGCGUCAGAAGAGGACCAGUGCGCCGCCUUCGCCACCGGAGUUCCUGAUGAUAUCAACGCAUUUCACCGCUCCACCAUCAGUUCCGCGCACCCCUGCCUCCCUCGAGACAACCAGUGUCCAUGGCAAUUCGACAGUUAAGCUGCCGGAUUUCACCACAGACUUAGUCACCCGCCUACGCGCCCUUUAAGCCCAGUGAUUCCGAACAACGUUCGCUCGGUUCGUCUUACCGCGGCUGCUGGCAC